UCGAGAAUUUUUCUCAAUGGGGGAAACCCUGAAGGAGCGACGCCGCGUGGAGGAUGAAGGCUUUCGGGUUGUAAACUCCUGUCAUUUGAGAACAAGGGGCCGAACUUAACUACUUCGGCCUUGAUAGUAUCAGAAGAGGAAGGGACGGCUAACUCUGUGCCAGCAGCCGCGGUAAUACAGAGGUCCCGAGCGUUGUUCGGAUUCAUUGGGCGUAAAGGGUGCGUAGGUGGCGUGGUAAGUGGGGUGUGAAAUCCCGAGGCUUAACCUCGGGACUGCAUUCCAUACUGCCGUGCUUGAGGACUGGAGAGGAGACUGGAAUUUACGGUGUAGCAGUGAAAUGCGUAGAGAUCGUAAGGAAGACCAGUGGCGAAGGCGGGUCUCUGGACAGUUCCUGACACUGAGGCACGAAGGCCAGGGGAGCAAACGG
rnacentral:rRNA from 1 species